rnacentral:snRNA from 9 species
AUACUUACCUGGCGUAGGGAUACCGUGAUCAUGCAGGCGGUUCAUGAGGCUGCUCCAUUGCACUGCGGAGUAGUUGACCAUUGCGAGUAUUUUUAUUUUUUUAUAAGUUUCACUUCUGCCGUGUGUGACUUGUACACACACACACACU